GACGAACGCUGGCGGCGUGCUUAACACAUGCAAGUCGAGCGGAAAGGCCCUUCGGGGUACUCGAGCGGCGAACGGGUGAGUAACACGUGAGUAAUCUGCCCUUGGCUUUGGGAUAACUACCGGAAACGGUGGCUAAUACCGGAUACGACAACCGUCUGCAUGGGCUGGUUGUGGAAAGUUUUUUCGGCCAGGGUGGUGCUCGCGGCCUAUCAGCUUGUUGGUGGGGUAAUGGCCUACCAAGGCUUCGACGGGUAGCCGGCCUGAGAGGGUGACCGGCCACACUGGGACUGAGACACGGCCCAGACUCCUACGAGAGGCAGCAGUGGGGAAUAUUGGACAAUGGGCGGAAGCCUGAUCCAGCAACGCCGCGUGAGGGAUGACGGCCUUCGGGUUGUAAACCUCUUUCAGUACCGACGAAGCGCCGAUGAUGGUGGUGACGGUAGGUACAGAAGAAGCACCGGCCAACUACGUG
rnacentral:rRNA from 1 species